UAUAUCUCCUGAAGCUCCGAGAGAGACUUGGAAAUCACCUCCCUGGCCCAAAAGGAGACUGGCACCAACAAGAAUCAAAUGGUUAUGGAUAAAGGAGCCAACUUAGAAAACUGACAGAUGAGUUUAUGCUACCUGUGUAAAGAUAUCCAUGGGGUCUGGAAGACUGAGUUAGAUUUUUUUGGAACUGGAAUUGAAGGCAGUUAUGAGUUGGGAAUUGAACUCUUAUCUACUGGAAGAGCAACACACACUCUUAACCACUGAACCAUCGAUUUCACCAGCCCCAUGCAAUCCAGAUAAAUAAUAUCAAAUAUUGAUUAUCUUCUCUGCUCCUACACUUCAGUGUAAACUUGAAAUUCUCUGACACCCACAGCAGUCAAGGCCAGCUUAAAAUGUUGCUUUCAGUUCUUUACUCCAGAGAAACUCUAUACUUUUAUCCAAAUUCAUUCUACUUAGUGGCAUUUGCAGAUUGGUUUUCUCCGAGUAGUCACUGAUCAAAACCACACCAAAGUGAUUUUCUAUUCUCCUGUUUCUGCAUCAGAUCCCAGAGCGUAGAAGCCUGUCUCAUACUCUUGAAUAUUUUUUUAUUUUUAAAACAGUUAUAAAGUAUCUAAAACAAACAAAGACCCACAUAGAUGGUAUUGUGUUUGUUACAUCAUUUGUUUUUCAAAACUCUGUCACCAGAGUUGAUAGCUGUGAUUUCAUCUCACCAAAAAAGGAAAGUCAAAUGCUUUUCACACUAUAGCCUAAGUAGUAAAUAGUGUUCUUGGGACCUGUCCUCUCAAAUGUCCUACUGAACAAGACCUUCCCAAGCAUCAGCUCACUGGCUCAUGCAAUGAGAAGUUAUCACUUAUAUCAUAAACCUCAGUGAUAAUAGUAGAAAAUAAUAAAGCAAAGCAUUGAUUGAUUGCUUAAGUUUUUUGUUUUUUUUAAUAUAUAUAUAUAUCUUCCUUCCAACCUAAAGCAAUGUGUUUUUAGCAAGGCAGUAAUACAGUUUACAGACUGAUAGAGCAUAUUACCAAGAAAUUUGCCAUUAGGUCUCUUUCAAGAAGCAACCAGAACAGAUUGUUAACAGGACAACUUAAGCAUAAGAAGUGUGCAAUGCUAUAAUCCCUCAUUCUUCCUAAAUUUUAACAAGCCUCACCUUCAAAUCCAACCAGCCACUUGGCUGAUGGUGAAGGGUCACCUCCGGACAACUGGGAAACAUGGUUCACCUUACUUGAAUAUUCUCUGUGCCUUGGAAAGUCCUUAUCAGUGUUCCUGCUCUUAGAGUAAAUAAAUACUACCAGGGGGGUGGAGAGAUGGGCUUAGCGGUUAAAAGUACUUGCUGAUCUUCCCGAAUACCUGAAUUUGUUUUCCACCACUCACAUUGGAUGCUAAUAACUCCAGCUUCAUGGGAGCACACACCUCUUUCUGUACUCAGAGGGCACCCUUACACACAUGCAUGCUCAGAGACUCUCACACAUACACAAUAAUCAGAAAAAUAAAUCUUCACGAUAUAUUUCUGUGGACAUUUUGUAUGAAACCUUAUUUACUCCUGCUUUGGUUUCUGUUUCCUGGUAAGCUUACCUGCUGUGAUUACAAAGUCAGUUCUAUUUUUUUUUUCCUAGGGAUUUUCUUGCAGAUCUGUCACCUGCCUCUUGCCUCUUGUAUUUCCUCAGAGACCUCACUUCUCUACUUGUGCUUUGGAAGAGAGCCAAACCUAUGUGAAAGGGAGAAAAUUUCUCUAUUAGUUACCUUAUGCUACACAACAGAAUAUCAAAGACUUGGUGGUUGAACAUACACAUUUGCUUUGUCACAGUCUUGGAGGCUAGAAGUCAAGAUCAGGAUGCCAACACAGUCUUCCAAGGCCUCGUGACUUAUGGCUGACCCCCUUUCCCACAGGUCAUCAGGUUUCCCUCCCUGUGUGACCCCACCCUAAUCAUCAAGGUUGUGAGUACAUUAUUCCAGUUGGUUUAGGGCCCUGUUCAUCAGGCCUCAGUUUACCCUAAUGACUUCUUUGGAAGCCCAAUUCUCAUGUCACAUUUUAAGGAACUGGGUCUGGGAUUUCAAUAUGAGAAUUUUGGAGGAAUCCAAUGCAGCCUCUUACACCCUAGCAUCCUGGACGUGAGAAUGCCAUAAUGUAUAAUAUGUAUCGGAUUGUCUGAAUGUCUUGGUAAAAAUACUUUGCUUAGUUUUGUCUUCAAUAAAGGUUUUUGGACCUUUGCCUGUGCCACUAAUUCAACUUUCAUGGGGGAACAUGUUAUAAUAAAUAAACUUUG
ensembl:lincRNA